CUAACUCUCAACAGCUAGCCCCACCCCCUUAAAACAACAAACCCUAUUAAUAACCCCAUAAACCCCUCCCCACCUUCAACAAACCAUUUUUCCCCUUUAGUAUGGGGGACAGAAAAAGAACUUGGCGCAAUAGAAAAAGUACCGCAAGGGAAAGCUGAAAGAGAAAUGAAAUAACCCAGUAAAGAACCAUAAAGCAGAGACCUUCCCUCGUACCUUUUGCAUCAUGAUUUAGCAAGAAUUUUUCAAGCAAAAUGAUUUUUAGUUUGAACCCCCGAAACUAAGUGAGCUACUCCAAGACAGCUUAUUGAGCAAACCCGUCUCUGUAGCAAAAGAGUGGGAAGAUCUUCGAGUAGAGGUGACAGACCUACCGAACUUAGUUAUAGCUGGUUGCCUACAAAAUGAAUAGAAGUUCAGCCUCUGGCCUUUUUUCCUCCAAUCCAGUACACACCCUUAAUGUCACGAAGAAGCCCAGAGAGUUAUUCAGAGGGGGGACAGCCCCUCUGAAAAAAAACACAACUUUAAAUAACAGGUUAAAGAUCAAAACCCUACAAAGGCAAUUUAACCCUGGUGGGCCUAAAAGCAGCCACCCCUGAAGAAAGCGUUAAAGCUCAAGUAUUUUGCCGCCAUAAUUCCGACAACAUAAUCUUAAACCUUUGCCCUAACAGUAGGCCUUUCCAUUUAUCAUGGAAGAGAUACUGCUAAUAUGAGUAAUAAGAGGAAAGCCCCUCUCCCAGUCACUUGUGCACAUCAGAACGAACCCACACUGAAAACUAACGCCCCCAACCCUAGAGGGAAUUUUAAUACCCAACAAUAAACUAGAAAACCACCAAAAAACUAGCGUUAAUCCCACACAGGUGUGUCUAAGGAAAGACUAAAAGAAAAAGAAGGAACUCGGCAAACACUGGCCUCGCCUGUUUACCAAAAACAUCGCCUCUUGCUCCAUUUAUUAAACGUAUAAGAGGUCCCGCCUGCCCUGUGACUAACAGUUUAACGGCCGCGGUAUUUUGACCGUGCGAAGGUAGCGUAAUCACUUGUCUUUUAAAUGAAGACCUGUAUGAAUGGCAUAACGAGGGCUAAGCUGUCUCCUUUUUCCAGUCAAUGAAAUUGAUCUCCCCGUGCAGAAGCGGGGAUACCAACAUAAGACGAGAAGACCCUAUGGAGCUUAAGACACAAAGCAGUUCAAGUAAAACCACCUAAUUUACUAGAAAUAACAAAAUGAAUCCUGCCCUCUUGUCUUUGGUUGGGGCGACCGCGGGGAAAUAAAAAACCCCCAUGUGGAAUGGACACUUCCCUCCUAAAGUAAGAGCCACAGCUCUAACAAGCAGAAUAUCUGACCAACAAGAUCCGGCAAAGCCGAUCAACGGACCGAGUUACCCUAGGGAUAACAGCGCAAUCCCCUUUUAGAGCCCAUAUCGACAAGGGGGUUUACGACCUCGAUGUUGGAUCAGGACAUCCUAAUGGUGCAGCCGCUAUUAAGGGUUCGUUUGUUCAACGAUUAAAGUCCUACGUGAUCUGAGUUCAGACCGGAGAAAUCCAGGUCAGUUUCUAUCUAUGAUUGUUCUUUUCUAGUACGAAAGGACCGAAAAGAAGAGGCCUAUGCUUUAAGUAAGCCUCCCCCUUACCUGAGGGAGCCAACUAAAACAGGUAAAAGGGGCACCCUGCCCUGCCUGAGAAAAAGGCAA
rnacentral:rRNA from 1 species